rnacentral:rRNA from 1 species
AACGAACGCUGGCGGCAUGCCUAACACAUGCAAGUCGAACGAGACUUCGGUCUAGUGGCGGACGGGUGAGUAACGCGUAGGAACCUGCCAAGCAGUGGGGAAUAACAGCUGGAAACGGCUGCUAAUACCGCAUACGCCCUUCGGGGGAAAGAUUUAUCGCUGUUUGAGGGUCCUGCGUUCGAUUAGCUAGUUGGUGAGGUAACGGCCCACCAAGGCGACGAUCGAUAGCUGGUCUGAGAGGAUGAUCAGCCACACUGGGACUGAGACACGGCCCAGACUCCUACGGGAGGCAGCAGUGGGGAAUAUUGGACAAUGGGGGAAACCCUGAUCCAGCAAUGCCGCGUGCGUGAAGAAGGCCUUAGGGUUGUAAAGCGCUUUCACCUGUGAUGAUGAUGACAGUAACAGGAGAAGAAGCCCCGGCUAACUCCGUG